rnacentral:rRNA from 1 species
UACGUAGGGUGCGAGCGUUAAUCGGAAUUACUGGGCGUAAAGCGUGCGCAGGCGGUGAUGUAAGACCGAUGUGAAAUCCCCGGGCUUAACCUGGGAACUGCAUUGGUGACUGCAUCGCUCGAGUAUGGCAGAGGGGGGUAGAAUUCCACGUGUAGCAGUGAAAUGCGUAGAGAUGUGGAGGAAUACCGAUGGCGAAGGCAGCCCCCUGGGUCAAUACUGACGGCUCAUGCACGAAAGCGUGGGGAGCAAACAGG